UAGGGAAUCUUCCGCAAUGGACGCAAGUCUGACGGAGCAACGCCGCGUGAGUGAAGAAGGAUUUCGGUUCGUAAAACUCUGUUGUUAGAGAAGAACAGCGCAUAGAGUAACUGUUAUGCGUGUGACGGUAUCUAACCAGAAAGCCACGGCUAACUACGUGCCAGCAGCCGCGGUAAUACGUAGGGCGCAAGCGUUAUCCGGAAUUAUUGGGCGUAAAGAGCUUGUAGGCGGUUCGUCGCGUCUGGUGUGAAAGCCCAUCGCUUAACGGUGGGUUUGCGCCGGGUACGGGCGGGCUAGAGUGCAGUAGGGGAGACUGGAAUUCUCGGUGUAACGGUGGAAUGUGUAGAUAUCGGGAAGAACACCAAUGGCGAAGGCAGGUCUCUGGGCUGUUACUGACGCUGAGGUACGAAAGCGUGGGUAGCAAACAGG
rnacentral:rRNA from 1 species